rnacentral:rRNA from 1 species
UACGUAGGUGGCAAGCGUUGUCCGGAUUUACUGGGCGUAAAGAGCGCGCAGGCGGUCGGAUCAGUCGAAUGUGAAAGCCCCCGGCUCAACUGGGGAGGGUCAUUCGAUACUGUCCGACUCGAAGGCAGGAGAGGGAAGCGGAAUUCCCGGUGUAGUGGUGAAAUGCGUAGAUAUCGGGAGGAACACCAGUGGCGAAGGCGGCUUCCUGGCCUGUUCUUGACGCUGAGGCGCGAAAGCUAGGGGAGCAAACGGG